UGAUGCAGGCCUGCUGACUGCUUCACGUGGUGAAGAAGGCCUUUGGGGUGACUUUGCCCCAGGUGUGGUUCCUGUGGAAGUGGUGAGUCACGGCCCUGAUGGCUGGCCUGCUCCUUCGUACACCUGCCUCUGUCUGGAGGCAUCUCACUUCCUUGUGAAAUGGAGAGAGGAAAGCCCCAGGGUGUCAGGGCAGAUGCUGCUCGGCUCUGCCAAGUUCCAUCACCUUCCUCAACUCCUGGUGCCUUUCACCAACCACCACCAUUACCGCUGGAAUCACCCAGAGAACAGAGGAAGGGAAUAGGGCAAUGUGCAAGUGGGCCUUCACAUCAGGCUCAGGAUCCGCUCAGGCAUCCUUAGCAACUGGACAGCAGAAACCCCCUUCUGAGUCGGAAACUGCUGGUCUCCUCUUGUGCAGAAUCUAUACCUCUAAGACGAGGGCAACAGCAAGGUCACCCAGACUGUACAGAAUGGGGAAACUCUUCAGGAUUAGUGUUAUCCCCUCCAUGGCAACAAAGAAAAGAAAAAACCCAAAACCCUGGAGGGUUCCAAAGAGGAGAGUCCAGUUCUCCUGGUGAUGAAGAUUACAGCAUCCUGGCUAAGAAAAAAGCUCCAGGGAUGGACGACUGGAGAAUCAGAAGGAAGGAGGAUCCAGGGACUUAACCUCCAGCAGCUUUGGCUUAUGCUUCUAUAGAAGAGAGAUCACAAGUAGGCAGAGAGACAGGCAGAGAG